rnacentral:lncRNA from 1 species
UUGGUCUAGGAUGAGUUUGGAAGAUACUAUUCCAGAAAAGAUAAUCUUUUCCUUCUCAAACAAUUACAGUGUCACUGGGAGGCGAUAAAUAUAAAUAUAAACAUAGCCUUGUGUGGAGUCACUCUUCAGAGCAGGAUCUUACUUUAAAUCAAAAUGAGAGGCAGAAAAAAAUGCAUUAAUGGAAGAAUCCUAUCCUCACUUACACAAUUACUGCAAGGAAAGAGUUGUAAUUCCAGCUGCUGGACCUGAGGUGGGGGCUUCCAGGUGGUGUGGGAAGUGAUCACCAUGUGAAAUGUUGAAGAAAGUUGAAGAAGUAUCAGGAGAUGAGACAUCAAACAUUUGUUGUUUUUGUUGGGUGAAAGCCUGAUGAUCCCGUCAUCCCAGGAAUGUUAUGAAAGCAAAACUUGGAAUUAAUUAAAGGUAUAAUUGGAAGAGUGAAACUAGCUGAAUUAAUGCAAAAGCAGGAAAACGUUAAGUGUUGCGUCUCGCGGGGAAUCAAAAGAGACAGUUCUGAGUGAGAAAAGCAGCGCAGACGGGUGAUCGUCGGGCAGGUGUUACUCAACGCUUUCGGGGAACUGGCAAAUCAUCAAAAGAAGAUGUAACUGGAAUCGACUCUUUAAGAGAGAAUCAGACUCAAACAUUUCAGGUGAGGAGGAUCUGUUUAAUGUGUCAUCUUCACUCCUCAAGCAUAAACCUGCCGUUGAGCCUGACAAAGAGCUGCAGCUCCUUAACCAGUGGCACAGACAGGAGGAAAAUCUGGUUUCAAGCACUUAGAAACCGCAGCCGACCAGGAGGGGUGCUUGUCCUUCUGGACAAAUGA